GACGUAGGGGACGAGCGUUGUCCGGAUUUAUUGGGCGUAAAGCGCGCGUAGGCGGUUUGGUAAGUCGGAUGUGAAAUCCCGUGGCUCAACCACGGGGCUGCAUCCGAUACUGCCCGACUAGAGGUAGGUAGGGGAGAUCGGAAUUCCUGGUGUAGCGGUGAAAUGCGCAGAUAUCAGGAGGAACACCGGUGGCGAAGGCGGAUCUCUGGGCCUUACCUGACGCUGAGGCGCGAAAGCUAGGGGAGCGAACAGG
rnacentral:rRNA from 1 species